CUAACCUUGCCCUUCCUGAACUGCCCGGGCCGGCGGAUGAUCUCCGAGUUGCCCUGGCACCUGAGUUGCCGAGCAGCCUCAUGAGCUCACACUGUGCCCUCCCACCGAUGCCUGGGCAGGUGCAUCGGGCGGUCCAGGUGGGCCAGGCGGCCUCCAGGGCCCGCACUUAGACGAGUCUCCUCUGGACAGCUCAGGUGUCCCCGCUGUUCACGACAGGGGUCAAGGGAGCUGGCAGGUGUCGGAUGCACCACGUGGCCACUGGUAAGGGAGCAGCUGGGGGCCUGGAGCCCUCGUACGGCGCACAGCUGUCCCCACAGAACUUUCUCUUCUUCCCACACUGAACUUCUGUCCCUUCAACACUAGCCGGUCCCCUCCCAGCCCCUGGCUCCCACUCUGCUGCUUCCUGUCUCUGUGGACCUGAGGACUCCAGGGACCGGCUGUGGGUGGACCCUGCAGUGUGUGCCCCUUUGUGCCCGGCUCUUGUCACUGAGCACUGUGUCCUCAGGGCACCUUGUGGCCGGUGUCAGAAUUUCUUCCCUUUUCCGGGCUCUGCGUGGACCAGUCUGACGCCUGACACUGUGCCUGUCCCCUUUGGGUGGACUCCCUUCUAGCUGGGCACAGCUAAUGGGGGCCCCUUUGCCCUCCCUGGGGCCUUGGCCAUUUCUUCCCUUUCUUGAUCUGCCUCCUGGGCCCACGCACAGCCUUGCCGCCGCAUCCUUGGGGCCGAGGUCUGACAACCACCUGCCCGGCUUCCUGGUUCCCCUCCGUCCAUCCCCAGGCCCCACAGCCCAGGCCCCUCCCUCCCGCUGCCUGAGAGAGGCGGUCCAGGCCUCUGAAUCAGGCCGCUCCUCACUAGCAGGGGCCACGCUGCCCGCUGCAGAGAAGGUUAAUGAACAGAACUAUUAAUAGCAGCUUAUUAACAGCCAGACCAGGACCUCAGGAUUCCUGACUGCCGAGCCUCCGAGCCUCCGUAGCAAAGCCAUCAUGGUGCUUCAGCAGCGGGACCCCUGUCCCCGUGUGCCACCUGCAGGACCCACCGGAGCACCAUUCUUGCGGAGCCACUGGCAGGGCGUGGUGUGGGACGGAACCAGGGCCUGGUGUGUGAGCAAGCGCUCACCAGGAGUGGAGCCCAGGUGGCUAGAGGCCUGAGGGCCCCUGUCGUGCACAUGCAGGAGAGGACCAGGACGGUGCCUAGGUCACCUAGGUGUCAGGCUGCCAGGAGCGUGGAAGUGAGGGACAC
rnacentral:lncRNA from 1 species